rnacentral:rRNA from 1 species
GAUGAACGCUAGCUACAGGCUUAACACAUGCAAGUCGAGGGGUCUGCUUCGGCAGACGACCGGCGCACGGGUGAGUAACGCGUAUCCAACCUGCCCUUCUCAUUGGGAUAGCCUUUCGAAAGAGAGAUUAAUACCGAAUAACAUAGUUUGAUUGCCUGAUUAUACUAUGAAAGCUCCGGCGGAGAAGGAUGGGGAUGCGUUCCAUUAGGUAGUAGGCGGGGUAACGGCCCACCAAGGCGACGAUCGUUAAGGGUUCUGAGAGGAAGGUCCCCCCACACUGGAACUGAGACACGGUCCAGACUCCUACGGGAGGCAGCAGUGAGGAAUAUUGGUCAAUGGGCNCGAGCCUGAACCAGCCAAGUAGCGUGAAGGAUGACUGCCCUACGGGUUGUAAACUUCUUUUUGUUUGGGAAUAAAUGAUACUACGUGUAGUAUUUUGCAUGUAUCUUACGAAUAAGCAUCGGCUAAUUCCGUG